ACGGCCGCCGCUGCCCGCGCGCCGCUGCUCCGCCUCGCGCUCCGCUCCGCUCCGGCUGCUCCGGGCCGAGGCGCGGCGGGGCGGUGAAGACCCAUGUGGGCCGCGCCCGCGAGCAUCGUAGAGAUCUCUGAUUGAAGCUGUUUCCUGGUGCAGACUGUGCUAAGAAUGCAGUGACAUUUCCGGCCAGCGGCAGAAAUACUGCUCAAACCCUGACUGAGUAGCAUUUCUUCUUUCAGUGGUACCGCCUCACAGAAGAAAGAUGUAUGGAAGUGCAAGAACAAUCAGCAAUCUGGAAGGUAGCCCUUCCAGAUCCCCUCGUUUGCCAAGAUCGCCUCGUUUGGGUCACCGAAGAACAAGUAGUGGGGGAGGGGGAGGAACAGGCAAGACUCUGUCUAUGGAGAAUAUCCAGUCCCUUAAUGCAGCCUAUGCUACGUCUGGACCCAUGUACUUGAGUGAUCAUGAGGGGGUGGCAUCAACAACUUACCCAAAGGGCACCAUGACUUUGGGCAGGGCCACAAAUCGAGCUGUGUAUGGAGGCCGAGUCACAGCCAUGGGGAGCAGUCCCAAUAUUGCUUCGGCAGGACUUUCCCACACAGAUGUCCUUUCAUACACGGAUCAACAUGGGCUGAGUGGCUCAUCCCAUCACCACCAUCACCAGGUGCCCUCCAUGUUGAGGCAGGUAAGGGACAGCACAAUGUUAGAUCUUCAGGCCCAGCUCAAGGAACUGCAACGAGAGAAUGAUCUUCUACGGAAAGAACUCGACAUUAAGGACAGCAAACUGGGGUCCUCCAUGAACAGCAUCAAGACUUUCUGGAGUCCCGAGCUGAAGAAGGAGAGGGUCUUGAGGAAAGAAGAGGCAGCUCGGAUGUCUGUCCUCAAGGAGCAGAUGAGGGUUUCUCAUGAAGAAAACCAGCACCUGCAGUUGACCAUCCAGGCCCUUCAGGACGAGCUGCGGACCCAGAGAGACCUCAACCACCUCCUGCAGCAGGAGAGCGGCAACCGUGGCGCCGAGCACUUCACCAUUGAGCUGACGGAGGAGAACUUCCGCAGGCUGCAAGCCGAGCACGACAGGCAGGCCAAGGAACUGUUCCUCCUGAGGAAGACGUUGGAGGAGAUGGAGCUGAGGAUUGAAACGCAGAAGCAGACCCUCAAUGCCCGGGAUGAGUCGAUUAAAAAGCUCCUGGAGAUGCUGCAGAGCAAAGGGUUGCCAUCCAAAAGCCUGGAGGACGACAACGAGCGCACGCGCCGCAUGGCCGAGGCCGAGUCUCAGGUCAGCCACUUGGAGGUGAUCUUAGACCAGAAGGAGAAGGAGAACAUCCACCUGAGGGAGGAACUGCACCGAAGAAGCCAACUCCAGCCGGAGCCAGCCAAGACGAAGGCUCUCCAGACUGUCAUUGAAAUGAAGGACACAAAAAUCGCUUCAUUGGAGCGAAACAUACGGGAUCUUGAGGAUGAGAUCCAGAUGUUGAAGGCCAAUGGUGUGCUCAACACUGAGGACCGUGAGGAAGAGAUCAAACAGAUUGAGGUGUACAAGAGUCACUCCAAGUUUAUGAAGACCAAGAUUGAUCAACUGAAACAGGAACUUUCAAAGAAGGAAUCAGAACUUCUUGCCUUACAAACAAAGCUUGAAACCCUUAGCAAUCAAAAUUCAGACUGCAAGCAACACAUUGAAGUGCUUAAGGAGUCACUUACCGCCAAGGAGCAGAGAGCUGCCAUCCUGCAGACAGAGGUAGAUGCUCUGAGAUUACGGCUGGAAGAGAAAGAAUCCUUUCUCAAUAAGAAAACAAAACAGUUGCAAGACCUCACAGAAGAGAAGGGGACCCUCGCUGGAGAGAUUCGAGACAUGAAAGAUAUGUUAGAAGUGAAGGAAAGGAAAAUCAAUGUUCUGCAGAAAAAGAUUGAAAACUUGCAAGAACAACUUAGAGAUAAGGACAAGCAGCUGACCAACCUGAAAGACAGAGUGAAGUCCUUACAGACAGAUUCCAGCAACACAGACACCGCUUUGGCCACGCUGGAGGAGGCCUUGUCAGAAAAGGAGAGAAUAAUUGAACGCUUGAAAGAGCAGCGGGAGAGAGACGAUCGGGAGAGAUUAGAAGAGAUAGAAUCCUUUCGGAAAGAGAACAAAGAACUCAAAGAGAAGGUGAAUGCUUUACAAGCGGAGCUGACCGAGAAAGAGUCUAGUUUAAUUGACCUCAAAGAACAUGCAUCUUCAUUAGCCUCUGCAGGACUGAAAAGGGACUCCAAAUUAAAAUCUCUAGAAAUAGCCAUUGAACAGAAGAAAGAGGAAUGCAGCAAAUUGGAGGCACAGUUAAAAAAGGCUCAUAAUAUUGAAGAUGACUCCAGGAUGAACCCUGAGUUUGCAGACCGACUGAAGCAGCUUGAUAAGGAUGCAUCUUACUACCGCGACGAGUGUGGCAAGGCCCAAGCAGAAGUGGAUAGGUUGCUGGAGAUCCUCAGAGAGGUGGAGAAUGAGAAGAAUGACAAAGACAAGAAGAUCGCAGAGCUCGAGAGCUUGACUCUCAGGCAUAUGAAGGAUCAGAAUAAGAAGGUGGCCAACCUCAAGCACAAUCAACAGCUGGAAAAGAAGAAGAAUGCCCAGUUAUUAGAAGAAGUCCGCAGGCGAGAGGAUAGCAUGGCCGACAACUCACAGCAUCUGCAGAUAGAGGAGCUGAUGAAUGCCUUGGAAAAGACCAGACAGGAGCUGGAUGCCACCAAAGCACGCCUUGCCUCUACCCAGCAGUCUCUGGCUGAAAAAGAAGCACACCUGGCCAACCUCCGGAUAGAGAGGAGGAAACAGCUGGAGGAGAUCCUGGAGAUGAAACAGGAAGCACUACUGGCGGCAAUCAGUGAAAAAGAUGCAAACAUUGCCUUGUUGGAAUUAUCUGCCUCCAAAAAGAAAAAGACCCAGGAAGAAGUCAUGGCUCUCAAGCGGGAGAAAGACCGACUAGUGCACCAGUUAAAGCAGCAGACGCAGAACAGAAUGAAACUGAUGGCAGACAGCUAUGAUGAAGACCAUCACCAUUACCACCACCACCACCACCACCACCACCACCGAUCUCCUGGGAGGUCACAGCAUUCCAACCACAGGCCCUCUCCAGACCAGGAUGACGAGGAGGGCAUAUGGGCAUAGCCGGGCCUGUAAACCAAAGUUCCAGUUUUGUUUUGAGGGAUGAUCCAGCUCUGUCGGAGGCACGUAGGCACAGACAAAUCUCAUGCAGUACAUUGAUCACCUGUCCAACCUUUGCCUAGAGUGGGAGCCCCCAGUUCCUUCAAGAGAUCCAACUUUACCUGUCUGUAAAGAAGAAGAGGAGGAGGGAGACAGCGGGGAGGAUCCGGUGGCAGUGUAACACCAGAGCAGCUGUCAGAAGGGCUGACGGAAAGGAAAGCACAGCUCUGCGCCGAUACUCUGCUAAUCUAUUGCAGCACGCCUCUCCUCACUGUCCACCGCCACCAGGAGCCGCACGUUGGCAUCGAAGAGGAAUUUGCUCUUUCAUGUCCCUGUGUGAUCCUGCUCAACUUGGUGUUCCCGUCCUCUUUUCUCCUGGAUUUGGAUGUAAUGGGAAGGAAGACUAUGAAGGGGGAGAAAAUCAGCUCCUUCAUUUUCUGUUGGGAUUUGAGGCAUUUAAAGAUGACCCUCUCUUUGGGGUGCCAUGAUGUGAUGAGUUUCAUUUCUGUUACUUAACCUCCUUGGAUACAUUAUACUCUACGGGAUUCAGACUGUGGAUUCAGCUUCUGUUGGACAACUAGAUUCAUCUGGGAUCAUUCCACCUCUCAGGCCACGUGGUCAUUCCUAAUGCAUUAGAUUAUCAAAUGGUCGCAGUUUGCUGUGAGUGGUGCUGGUGGUGUUCCUAUGCCACGAUGUAUGAAUUGUUUGACAUAGAUACCAAAACACCAAAAAUUGUGAGCCUUUACCCUCCUCUAUUUCUUUGAUCUGCUGUUCGAAGAACCACAUUUUGAUGGUAUAACCAGUAGUUACCUCUGGGCCAGGUUGGAAAUGAAAUCAAUUUUUAAAACCACUAAUAACUUGCCAAGAAAUCGCCUUAUGAGAACAUGGUGUGUGUCUCUGACAAUGCAUGGCACAUUUAAAUUGAUCAUUCAUAAUUUUAUUGUUCUGCUCCCGUACCAAAGAGUGAUAAAAGCCUGAGGCAUCUGCACAUUCACCCCACGAGCUCUGGGUACUCCCAUGGCUGGGAUGUGACCCAGCCUCAGGCUUUUCUCAUUUGGGUACAUGCAGGUCUCCACAAAGAUGCUGGGAAGUCAUUUAUGUUCCAAGAUCCAAAUGCUGUGCAAACAGUAUGAGUGUAGGUCUUCUGCAAACGAAGGGUUGUUUCUCAUUUUAUUUUUCAUUUAAAGGAAAUGUCUCUAACAUGGAUUCCAAAGCAUUUUCAGCAUCAAACACGAAAACAUUGAUGAAUGAAGAACAGUCACAAAGCCGUGUAUCUGUAAAUAGCUCUACACAACCUGUCUGUGGAUACAGAGUCAUUAUUUAAAGCACAUGCCAGGGAAAGAGACCAUUUUCCAGGUCUUUCACAUACAGUGACAUGGUACUAAGGAGAAUUAAACUCCUGCUGCUUCCUCUGAAGAUUAAAAAUAAUUAAAAUCAUUAUAACUUCAUGAAAACUCAUGACUGAGUCUGGCAAACAUGUGCACUCUUGUAUUGACCCAUUUUCUUAUCAGUGGAAGAAACCCUUCCAUGUGUAUGCAAGUGGGAGAUAAAAACCUGCAUUUUUAAAGGACAAACAGUGAAUUUAAGCAUGAGUGGCCUUAAUAAAUAUAGUUGUCUUUCUUUGCUGCUGUGGAAAGGAUUCUAAGCAGAAGUUCCUGAAGUCUUGCAUUGAAUCUAGUCGUUAUUACUACUUUUUGAAAUGUUGGUGCAAUUAACUCUGGACCUCUCUUGUGAGCCAUAGAGAUAUUUACAAGACAAACCCCUUAUUUGCUGAUGAAGGGAAGCUGCCUCUGAGCUGCACCGUUAAUUCUCGGUGCAUCAGGAGUCAGACGUUCCAGUGGGUUUCUUGCUUCUGGCUUUGUUCUUGUUGUCAGUAAGUAGCGAACUAUGUAAAGCUUACGUGUUGCAUAAAUGAUCCAAAUACAUUCAUUUUUCCAAAGUCUGUCUUUAACUAUCAAAGGGAUCUAGGUAUUUGUCGGAGGAGCGAGCAGAGUUCUUUGCAAGUUUAUUUACUACAUUUUGGCAGUGUUUCGCUGAAAACCCAAGCCACAGACCCGUCCCCAUGUGUGGUAUGGGUGUCCUCAAAGAGGAAGUCCUCAUGGCCUUUUACCACCCAGGCCCUGACCUGAAGUCUGCAACUGAAUACUUGAAGUAGGAGACCCAACAGGGAAAAUAGGGUCCUUGAAGUAGAAAACAAAGCAACCAACCGUGUAUAGUCAGCUGUUUCUACAUAUGUGCCAAUUUUGUCACAGAUAUUAUUUGGGGAAUCCAUUUCGCCCCUUUUAUUGUUGGUUAAAAGUAUUACUGAUCUUUUAUGCAAGCAUAUCAUUUAGUCCCUGAAAACUGAAUUCUAUCUAAUACAGCAUCUUUUUCCAUUUCACAUAAUAUUCUCUGAUGUUUGGGGAUUACCGAAAAGAAAUCCCUUUCCACACAUUGAAAAUAGUCUCUGGUUUACAACAAACACUGUGAUGUUUGGAAGAUAUUUCCUUUGCGCAAACUUUAGCAAGUUCCCUUCUAAUCAUAGUGUAGUUGAAAAAAAUAAAGUUUGGGCUGACAUUUCGGAGAAGUUGGUCUAAGUCUUACUUUGUGCAAAAGCAGGCUUGCAUUUAUACCCCAUUUGAUUUCUAUGUACAGUCUCAAUUUUGUAUUGAAUGAUUUUUUGUGUAUUCGGUAUGCACGUUCACAGCGUGUCAACUUCCAUUUGAAAGUGGGUUUUACCUUUUAAACAGUGUUUAUGAUGAGACCUCAAAUGUGUUGACAUAAAUUGUACCUUCAGUGUUUUUGUGUAGAGUGGUGUUUGAAUGCUGCCAGGGCUCUGUGUAUCCAGUUCCCUGAGACCCCUGUUUGAUAGAGCUUCUUGUAAUAUUUCUUCAAGUGAGUGGCAUGUAGGUUGUGAUAUUGACCAUGUGAUUAUGGACAUUGAUACGAAAAAAAUAAAUACAUAAAAUUAAGGAACCCUCGAAACUACCAGUGGGCAUGUACUAGCCAGUCCUGUAACCUCGUGUUCAGUAGAAUUACAAUGUACAAGGUAUGUACAGUUCAAAACUUUGUUAUCAUGUGUAUGAGAAGUACUUUGUGCUGUCUUAUUUAUAUUCAUCAAAUAAACCUUGUUUCUUUCUGAAGUGA